CCUACGGGCGGCAGCAGUGAGGAAUAUUGGUCAAUGGACGAGAGUCUGAACCAGCCAAGUAGCGUGAAGGAUGACUGCCCUAUGGGUUGUAAACUUCUUUUAUAUGGGAAUAAAACGUUCCACGUGUGGGAUUUUGUAUGUACCAUAUGAAUAAGGAUCGGCUAACUCCGUGCCAGCAGCCGCGGUAAUACGGAGGAUCCGAGCGUUAUCCGGAUUUAUUGGGUUUAAAGGGAGCGUAGGUGGAUUGUUAAGUCAGUUGUGAAAGUUUGCGGCUCAACCGUAAAAUUGCAGUUGAAACUGGCAGUCUUGAGUACAGUAGAGGUAGGCGGAAUUCGUGGUGUAGCGGUGAAAUGCUUAGAUAUCACGAAGAACUCCGAUUGCGAAGGCAGUUCACUGGACUGCAACUGACACUGAGGCUCGAAAGUGUGGGUAUCAAACAGGAUUAGAUACCCUUGUAGUC
rnacentral:rRNA from 1 species